rnacentral:rRNA from 1 species
AUUGAACGCUGGCGGCAGGCCUAACACAUGCAAGUCGAACGAGUGGCGGACGGGUGAGUAAUGUCUGGGAAACUGCCUUAUGGAGGGGGAUAACGACUGGAAACUGUAGCUAAUACCGCAUACCAUCGGAUGUGCCCAGAUGGGAUUAGCUAGUUGGUGGGGUAACGGCUCACCAAGGCGACGAUCCCUAGCUGGUCUGAGAGGAUGACCAGCCACACUGGAACUGAGACACGGUCCAGACUCCUACGGGAGGCAGCAGUGGGGAAUAUUGCGCAAUGGGGGCAAGCCUGAUACAGCCAUGCCGCGUGUAUGAAGAAGGCCUUCGGGUUGUAAAGUACUUUCAGCGAGGAGGCGUUACCCGCAGAAGAAGCACCGGCUAACUCCGUGCCAGCAGCCGCGGUAAUUC